CAAAAUGGCCUUCUUGCUUCAUUUGAUUUCAAAAAUCAGAGUCCUCACGUUGGCAAUAGCUUUAGAGGACUCAUGACAUGCCAGCUUUCUGCUUGUAGAAAUCUGCAUCUUGAUCUGCUCAGCUUAUUGAGACCUUCACAAACAACAUUGCAUAAGUUGUUUCCGGCUGGCCCCUCAUAGCCUCACCUUCAUGUGUGGAAUCAAUGAGUUCAGAAUUGAGGGUGAUCAAUUUCGAUAUGAAGUUGUAUCUCAGAUUCACUUCAUUAAUUCAUUCACUUAAGCUUGAUGUGAGAUCAAGGAAGGUGUGCUCACUGCAGGGGAUGGUGAUACCGCCCAGGGGAUGAUCAAAUCCAAAUUCUUCUUCUGCUUGCCUCAACAAAUCUUGGAAUGAAGGAUGGUUCAAGUAUGAUAUUGGAACCACGAAUCGUUUCUUCUGGCUCUCCCCAACAUAGACUGCAAAUAUCCUUUAGGGAUAUCUAAUGUCUUUGAACCAGAUAGAGAUCUAGUAAGAGUUUUCUUGGCACUAGCAAUUGCUGGUAACCGAAAACCCAUGGUUUUUAUCUUUCAGGUGGAAAUGAAACAAGAAAAUGAACCAGAAAGACUUAUGAAAUGAAAGAAAGCUUAAUUUGAUACUUGGGAA
rnacentral:lncRNA from 1 species